rnacentral:rRNA from 1 species
GACGAACGCUGGCGGCGUGCUUAAAACAUGCAAGUCGAACGAGCACUUCGGUGCGAGUGGCAAACGGCUGAGUAACGCGUGGGUGACCUGCCUCGAAGUGGGGAAUAACUGCCCGAAAGGGUGGCUAAUACCGCAUGUGAUGGCUCCUUCGGUGGAGUCAUUAAAGCCGCAAGGCGCUUGGAGAGGGGCCCGCGUCCGAUUAGCUAGUUGGUGGGGUAACGCCUACAAGGCGUCGAUCGGAGCUGGUCUAAGAGGAUGAUCAGCCAGACUGGGACUGCGACACGGCCCAGACUCCUACGGGAGGCAGCAGUUAGGAAUUUUGGGCAAUGGGCGAAAGCCUGACCCAGCAACGCCGCG